rnacentral:rRNA from 1 species
CCUACGGGAGGCAGCAGUGGGGAAUAUUGCACAAUGGGGGAAACCCUGAUGCAGCAACGCCGCGUGAGUGAAGAAGGUUUUCGGUAUGUAAAGUCCUAUCAGUAGGGAAGAUGAUGACGGUAUCUGACCAAUAAGCCCCGGCUAACUACGUGCCAGCAGCCGCGGUAAUACGUAGGGGGCAAGCGUUACUCGGAUUUACUGGGCGUAAAGGGUGCGCAGGCGGCAGUGUAAGUCUGAUGUGAAAUCCUGGGGCCUAACUCCAGAACUGCACUGGAAACUGUGCGGCUAGAGUGCGGGAGAGGCAGGCGGAAUUCGUGGUGUAGGGGUAAAAUGCGUAGAUAUUAAGAGGAACACCAAUGGCGAAGGCGACCUGCUGGAAAAUUACUGACGUUGAGGCACGAAAGCGUGGGGAGCAAACAGGAUUAGAUACCCGAGUAGUC